AUGCUCCUAUGUUGUGUUAAGUGUUGGCAGAUAUCUGGACCCCGCCCUAGCGGUCCGGAACUUGGACCCCGAACUUCUCCUCCCCAUACGAAGUCCGGGGUUUUUUUUGCCCCAAA
rnacentral:sRNA from 1 species